UACGUAGGGGGCUAGCGUUAUCCGGAAUUACUGGGCGUAAAGGGUGCGUAGGUGGUUUCUUAAGUCAGAGGUGAAAGGCUACGGCUCAACCGUAGUAAGCCUUUGAAACUGGGAAACUUGAGUGCAGAAGAGGGAAGUGGAAUUCCAUGUGUAGCGGUGAAAUGCGUAGAGAUAUGGAGGAACACCAGUGGCGAAGGCGGCUUCCUGGUCUGUAACUGACACUGAGGCGCGAAAGCGUGGGGAGCAAACAGGAUUAGAUACCCGGGUAGUCCCUGAGCGGGCU
rnacentral:rRNA from 1 species